AAGCAGGCUCCUCAGGGUAGUAGGGACAGCAGCUCUGAUUCAGACAGCUCCAGCAGUGAGGAGGAGGAAGAGAAGACAUCUAAGUCUGCAGUUAAGAAGAAGCCACAGAAGGUAGCAGGAGGUGCAGCCCCUUCCAAGCCAGCCUCUGCAAAGAAAGGAAAGGCUGAGAGCAGCAGCAGUUCUUCCUCUGAUGACUCCAGUGAGGAAGAGGAAGAGAAGCCCAAGGGCAAGGGCUCUCCAAGACCACAAGCCCCCAAGGCCAAUGGCACCUCUGCACUGACUGCCCAGAAUGGAAAAGCAGCUAAGAACAGUGAGGAGGAGGAAGAAGAAAAGAAAAAGGCGGCAGUGGUAGUUUCCAAAUCAGGUUCAUUAAAGAAGCGGAAGCAGAAUGAGGCUGCCAAGGAGGCAGAGACUCCUCAGGCCAAGAAGAUAAAGCUUCAGACCCCUAACACAUUUCCAAAAAGGAAGAAAGGAGAAAAAAGGGCAUCAUCCCCAUUCCGAAGGGUCAGGGAGGAGGAAAUUGAGGUGGAUUCACGAGUUGCAGACAACUCCUUUGAUGCCAAGGAAGAAAAUGUACUGUUCAUGCUGACACAGAUAUUUCAGUCUGCAUGGUAAAAGUUCUACAUCUUACUACAAAAUAAUAAACUGGCUGGUUUAUAA
rnacentral:sRNA from 1 species